GGGGGCUGAGGAGCCUCUCUGUCGAGACAGCCUCAGUGUAGUGGACCUCUGCCAGCCGGCGGAUCGCGCCCUUCCUGUGGUGGGCUCUCCAGGCUGGGCCUGGGCUCGAAACAGCUCGCACUCCAGUGCUGGGGAGAGGCGCUGCGAGCUGGAGCCGGAGCCGAAACUCAAGUUGUGACCCGAGCCGGCAGCUGUGCCUUUAAGCCGCGUUCCCAUUCGGGGAAACCGACGCCAGCGCUCGAGGGUCGGGAGGCGCUGGAGAGGCCCCUCGUUCCGUACUCCCCUCUUUCCUCCCCCUCCCCUCCCCUCCCCCGCCCCCUCUUCCCUCCCCUCUCGGCCGUCCGGCCGCCUCGCCGCCAUCCGUCACCUCGCCGCCGCCUGCCGCACUCCCGGAGCGAGCGAGACGAGCGAGCCACGGCGAUGGUGCCGCCCGCGGCGCAGCCAUGGAGCCCGCCCGAGGAGCCCGCGCGCGCCGCUGCCAGCCUGCCCGCAGCCCGCCGCCUGCGCGCCAGCUCCCCGCGUCCCGGGCCAGCUGCUGCCGCUCCGCCAACCUUCACCCGCCCCACCGCCCGGCGCCACUGAGCCCCACGCCCGUGCCGGGCUCGGGAACACGGGCGCCCUAGUCCCGCCGCCGUCGCCGCCGCCACCGCCGCCGCGCCGCGGAAGAGCAGGAGGAGGAAGAGGAGGCGGAGGAGGAAGGUAAGAGGCGCGCUGCUUCCAGGGGGGCGCGCCCGCAGUCUCAGACCGGCUGGGGGUGAGUCGCGGCGGGAGCG
rnacentral:lncRNA from 1 species